UGGCCAGGCCUUUUAACUUCCCUAGUGUAACCGUGGGGCUGCUCUCCUGCUCAGGGUGGAGCCCGCAGGUUAGAAUACGAGCAGACAAGCCGACAGAGGUAACUCGGAGUUUGGUGGCCUGGCUUCUUUGUGACAGGCGGAGGACAGGCGGACUUCUGCAGCCAUUCCGGCGAUGCUGGGAGGGCCGGCUGUGUUGCUCCUGCAGCCAGGAAUAAACCAGGCCGGUGUUCCUUCUCCGGGGAGUGUCUCCAUAGUUUUUUGGGGAAUAGCGUGCUCGCCGGGCCUUGGUCACGAAAGAGUUAAAUUUCAGGCAUUCUGCUAACUCUGGAAUCUGCUCCGUGCCGAGAUCACAGAAAGCACAUUCAAAGUCUCUGCCGUGGGGAAACGAGAAAGUGGCUCCGUGCUAAGCCGCUAAGCCGAGGGGGAAAAGUGUCGGGAGAGGGGAGGUCAGGCUGGUGGGACUUCAAAGGCAGAAACCAGUUAGGAGGAGCCUUGUCUUGCUGCGGAUGUGGAAUUUGCCCAGCAUUAAGCAGAACAAACGCUGGGGAGUCAGCAGCCACCGUGUAAACGUAGAUCCCGACAACAGAUUUCCCCCCGGCUGCAGAGACAGACCCGCUCUCCGAAUGGCCGCCGUUGCUUUAAAUUCUCACCUGGUCCUCUAAAGUGCUUGCAACCCCUCCCCGCUUGGUGUCGUCUGCACACGCAACAGGCACACUCUCCUCUCAACCAGCCAACGCGUUCAUGAAAAUAUUGGCAGCUGCGGGACGCAGGACAGACCCCAGCCGAACCCCAUGAGAAGUGAGCUAUUGGUGACUACUCUUUCACGACCGUCCUUCCCCCAGGCAUGUAGGGACCCCAGUGGCCCCUGCUCCUGGCUAGAAGAGCGGCUGGCAGCCCCCGGGCAGACCUGGGCCAGGUGUUCUGAAAGCCAGAGGUGAUUCCAGGUGGGGGAGC